CCUGAGGUGACCCAGCACUGGAGCUUACAGACUGUUUGGUGGGGCUAAUGGCAGUCUCUGGGAGCGCUCACGCCAAUGGGUACUUCCCAGAACUGCUGCUGCCAGUGUCCUUGUCCCCACAGUGAGCCCAGCCACCCCCUGCCUCCACAGUAGACCCUCCAAUACCAGCAGAGCUCAAUGGACAUGUUAACAACAAACAAGUCACAGAAAAAAGAGAACUAUUGAUCUAGAAGAUUGAUCUGAGGAAAUCACCCAAAGCCCAUCAACCCAGGAAGGAGCAGGAUCUGAACACCCAAUACCUGCAAGGAUGGCUUAGAAGUUGUCCAGGAUAGUGUGGCAGUCCUCAGAUGCCGAGCUGUGGAGUCUCUCCCUCAUUUGGGAAAUGACAGAGAGCCACUGUUAUUCUGAAGCAGCGACAGGAUCAGAGCUUGCUCCUGCUGAGGAAGUUAUUCACAGAAGACAGAUACUGCUUCAUACAGGACAGAUCAGAGGACAAAUCCUAAAUUACCCACCCACGGAGGGGGCCAGCGUCACACAGAGACCGAGAAAAGAUUGAAGGAGAAAGACAGGCAGAUCUCCCUAAAUCUGCCCAGGAGCACAGAAUCCAGAGACUCAGGGCUCCAGGUCAUCGCUGGUCCUGUCCUGUUGGGAGAAUUUCUGCUGUUUAGGUAACCCCCUGGGAGUCACGUGAGUGGAAUCAUCGCGUUAGAGGCCAGGCUCCACUCACCUCACACAUGACACCCGGAGACUUGCUGCUCUCAGGAGCUCUUUCAGCACAGGACCAGGUCAUCAGACGGGAGAAGAAGACUACAAUUCGUGUGGUGUGUUCUUGAAGAGGCCACCCCUCAUUUCUCCUCAAUUCA